UACGGGGGGGGCAAGCGUUGUUCGGAAUUACUGGGCGUAAAGGGCUCGUAGGCGGCCAACUAAGUCAGACGUGAAAUCCCUCGGCUUAACCGGGGAACUGCAUCUGAUACUGGAUGGCUUGAGUUCGGGAGAGGGAUGCGGAAUUCCAGGUGUAGCGGUGAAAUGCGUAGAUAUCUGGAGGAACACCGGUGGCGAAGGCGGCCAUCUGGACGGUAACUGACGCUGAGACGGCGAAAAGCGUGGGUAGCAAACGAGGA
rnacentral:rRNA from 1 species